GAUGAACGCUGGCGGCAUGCCUAAUACAUGCAAGUCGAGCGCCCCGCAAGGGGAGCGGCAGACGGGUGAGUAACGCGUGGGAAUCUACCCAUCUCUACGGAAUAACGCAUGGAAACGUGUGCUAAUACCGUAUACGUCCUUCGGGAGAAAGAUUUAUCGGAGAUGGAUGAGCCCGCGUUGGAUUAGCUAGUUGGUGGGGUAAAGGCCUACCAAGGCGACGAUCCAUAGCUGGUCUGAGAGGAUGAUCAGCCACACUGGGACUGAGACACGGCCCAGACUCCUACGGGAGGCAGCAGUGGGGAAUAUUGGACAAUGGGCGCAAGCCUGAUCCAGCCAUGCCGCGUGAGUGAUGAAGGCCCUAGGGUUGUAAAGCUCUUUCACCGGUGAAGAUAAUGACGGUAACCGGAGAAGAAGCCCCGGCUAACUUCGUGCCAGCAGCCGCCGUAAAAC
rnacentral:rRNA from 1 species